AUUGAACGCUGGCGGAAUGCUUUACACAUGCAAGUCGAACGGUAGAGGGGGCAACCCCUUGAGAGUGGCGAACGGGUGAGUAAUAUAUCGGAACGUGCCCAGUCGUGGGGAUAACGUAGCGAAAGUUACGCUAAUACCGCAUACGAUCUAAGGAUGAAAGCGGGGGAUCGCAAGACCUCGCGCGAUUGGAGCGGCCGAUAUCAGAUUAGGUAGUUGGUGAGGUAAAGGCUCACCAAGCCAACGAUCUGUAGCUGGUCUGAGAGGACGACCAGCCACACUGGAACUGAGACACGGUCCAGACUCCUACGGGAGGCAGCAGUGGGGAAUAUUGGACAAUGGGGGGAACCCGUGAUCCAGCAAUGCCGCGUGUGUGAAGAAGGCCUGAGGGUUGUAAAGCACUUUCAGUGGGGAGGGAGGGUUGGAGUAGGUUAAGAGACUAAUUAACUAGGACGUUACCUACAGAAGAAGCACCGGCUAACUCCGUGCCAGCAGCCGCGGU
rnacentral:rRNA from 1 species